GAUGAACGCUGGCGGCGUGCCUAAUACAUGCAAGUCGAGCGAACAGACGAGGAGCUUGCUCCUCUGACGUUAGCGGCGGACGGGUGAGUAACACGUGGAUAACCUACCUAUAAGACUGGGAUAACUUCGGGAAACCGGAGCUAAUACCGGAUAAUAUAUUGAACCGCAUGGUUCAAUAGUGAAAGACGGUUUUGCUGUCACUUAUAGAUGGAUCCGCGCCGCAUUAGCUAGUUGGUAAGGUAAGGGCUUACCAAGGCAACGAUGCGUAGCCGAACUGAGAGGGUGAUCGGCCACACUGGAACUGAGACACGGUCCAGACUCCUACGGGAGGCAGCAGCAGGGAAUCUUACGCAAUGGGCGAAAGCCUGACGGAGCAACGCCGCGUGAGUGAUGAAGGUCUUCGGAUCGUAAAACUCUGUUAUUAGGGAAGAACAAAUGUGUAAGUAACUAUGCACGUCUUGACGGUACCUAAUCAGAAAGCCACGGCUAACUACGUG
rnacentral:rRNA from 1 species